GACGAACCGUACGAACGUUAUUCGGAAUCACUGGGCUUAAAGGGUGCGUAGGCGGCGCUGAAAGUUGGGUGUGAAAUCCCUCGGCUCAACCGAGGAACUGCAUUCAAAACUACAGUGCUUGAGGGAGAUAGAGGUGAGCGGAACUUAGGGUGGAGCGGUGAAAUGCGUUGAUAUCCUAAGGAACACCCGUGGCGAAAGCGGCUCACUGGGUCUCUUCUGACGCUGAGGCACGAAAGCUAGGG
rnacentral:rRNA from 1 species